GCCCCAUUCCAGCCCGGUUUCAAUCCCCACCUCCCACCCUCCGGAUCCAAUCUGGGAUCGACGCGGAGAGGGGAGGGCGACGGGGCGCGGCAGGCGGCGCGCUUGUGGGCGACGGCGCAGCGGCACGGCAGCGCACCGGCGGCGAGCUUUUGACCAAUGGAAGAGUAGGCCUCCGGAACGUCUCUGUCCGCUGGGUUCACCUGCUCGGGUGAGGACGGCAAUCACGUUUUUGGGGAGUGUCGGCGGUGGCACGACUACUCGCUUCCGUUCCUGUUCCCUGCGUUGGCUGCUUCCGUUCCUGUUCCCGGCAUUGGCAACUUUCGUUCCUGUUCCUGGCGGCACGACAUCGAGCGGACGAUCUUCACUGCAACACUUCUGCACUGCAUCGAGCGGGACGACUACAUCAACAAAGCACCAUGUCGCUUUCGGGUGUUUCCGGCUCUGCCACUGGUUUGUUCAUGCAGGUUGAUGAGACCCAAGUUUGAGAUGGUGGACGGCAUGCAAGCUUCAAGAUCUAAGUUUGAGACGUGCAAUUGCUCAUGCGCUAUAUAUCUCCUGCUCCUCUUCCUCCUUUAGAUCUCUAUAUCUAGCUUUUUGAUUGAGUGAUGAUUGUUUGGAGCUGUUAUCUACAACUUUUGUGCAAGUUUCAGAUAAUGUCCUCUUGUAAUUUAAGUGUGAAGAACUCUAUUACUUAUGAAUUCCUUCAGUACAAGUAGUUACUGCAUUUUUCUUGUUUACUAUUGUAUUUACUGAUGGAUGAAAGCCUGUAUGAUGGAUGGAUGGAAGCCUCUAUGUGUUAUA